CGGGAAGCAAAGGAUUAGAACCACUGACCUCCUGCUUUGUAGUCUACUGCUCUAUCCACUAUGCCAUCUCCCG